GCCCAUAUAGCUCAAUGGUAGAGCACCUGCAUUUGGUAGGGUAUGAUGGUUCAAGUCCUUCUGUGGGCA